GCCGGGGGGACCUGAAGUCGGUAACCGCAAGGAACCGCCUAGGGUAAAAUCGGUAAUUGGGGCUAAGUCGUAACAAGGUAGCCGUAUCGGAAGGUGCGGCUGGAAUACCUCCUUUUUAGAGCUCAUU
rnacentral:rRNA from 1 species